rnacentral:rRNA from 1 species
AGAGUUUGAUCAUGGCUCAGGAUGAACGCUGGCUGUGUGCCUAAUACAUGCAUGUUGAACGAAGCUAAAAGUGCUUGCACUUUAAGACUUAGUAGCGAAUGGGUGAGUAACACGUACUUAACCUACCCCCAAGUUUGGGAUAACGUUUGGAAACGAACGCUAAUACCGAAUACGUAUUUUUAUCGCAUGAUAGAAAUAUAAAAGGAGCUUCGGCUUCGCUAGGGGAUGGGAGUGCGCUACAUUAGUUAGUUGGUAGGGUAAUGGCCUACCAAGACUAUGAUGUAUAGCGGGGCCGAGAGGCUGAUCCGCCACACUGGGACUGAGAUACGGCCCAGACUCCUACGGGAGGCAGCAGUAGGGAAUUUUCCACAAUGAACGAAAGUUUGAUGGAGCGACACAGCGUGCAGGAUGAAGGUCUUCGGAUCGUAAACUGCUGUUAUAAGGGAAGAAAAACUUUAGCAGGUAACGACUAGAACUUGACGGUACCUUAUCAGAAAGCGACGGCUAACUAUGUGCCAGCAGCCGCGGUAAU